UACAGAGGGGGCGAGCGUUGUUCGGAAUUACUGGGCGUAAAGCGUGCGCAGGCGGUUUUGUAAGCCAGAUGUGAAAUCCCCGGGCUCAACCUGGGAAUGGCAUUUGGGACUGCAAGGCUGGAGUACGGCAGAGGGGGGUAGAAUUCCACGUGUAGCAGUGAAAUGCGUAGAUAUGAUGGAGGAACACCGAUGGCGAAGGCAGCCCCCUGGGUCAAGCAUUGACGCUCAUGCACGAAAGCGUGGGGAGCAAACAGG
rnacentral:rRNA from 1 species